GACGAACCGUGCGAACGUUGUUCGGAAUCACUGGGCUUAAAGGGCGCGUAGGCGGGCGGCCAAGUCGGAGGUGAAAGCCUGCAGCUCAACUGCAGAAGUGCCCCCGAUACUGGUCGUCUCGAGGGAGGUAGGGGCAUGUGGAACUUCCGGUGGAGCGGUGAAAUGCGUAGAUAUCGGGAGGAACACCAGUGGCGAAGGCGAUCUUCUGGACGGAUACUGACGCUGAGGCGCGAAAGCUAGGGGAGCAAACGGG
rnacentral:rRNA from 1 species